UAUGGCCGGCCAAAGGAAGAACAAAGCAAGAACAAAGGAAAAAAAAGGAAGAACAAAACCCUAGGUGGAAAAAUUCAAGGGAAAAGUUGAAUCGAGGGAAGAACAAAGGUAAGAUUUUUCAAUUCUAGCUUAUGAUCUACCUUGCCUAUGCAUUAUUUUGCAUUUGCCAUGGUUGAAUCACAAGAUAUCAUGAAGGAUUCAUGGCUGACCGAAUUUAGAGAGAGAAGAUUUGAUGAUUUAUUUGGUUAGAUUUUGAGAUAUUUUAGUGCUUUAAGUUGUUUAGUGUUGUGUAGCAUGAAAAGCCAACAAGAAAAAUUCAUUUUCUCCCAUCAUCCAUCAUUGGCCGAAUUCUCCAUGUAGAAUAUUGAUGAUGAUUUUGAUUUUAUUUCAAGUGAUUUGGUUAGGAAUUAGUGAUUUAUGGUGUGAGAAUCAAGCUUGAAAAAUUAUAAUGUUGAUGCACCCACCAUGGCUGAAUUUUCCAAGAGAAAAUGUGAGGAUGAUUUUGCCAUAUUUUAAGUUAUUUAAUUUGUGUUUGAUGAAUUGGAGUAUUGGGAGAAAAAUGAAAUUUUUUGGAGUUGAAUUGGACGUAUUGGCCAAUUAAUCGAGUGAUAGAUCGAAUUAGGCCAAUACCGUUUAAUUUUGGUACACAAUUGAAUUUGUGUAGAACACCGUGUUUAGACAAUAAUCCGAACAAUUUGAAUCCCAUUUCGUACAUUAGUAUAAAGCCUGAAUUAGUUUUAUAACAAUUUAGCACAAUGUAGUAAAUGGCUUAUUGUGCAUUAUGUCUAGGUGGUGAGUAUUCUGGCAAAAGUAAAGAGAUAGUACUCGAGGAUCAAGAAUCGGAGUAUAGGAAAUUCGACUCCCAAAAUAGUGAGUAACCUUACUAUCGUCUUAAUUAUUUAAAGUAGUUUUUAUUCUUUUUUGUGAUUUGAUAGAAAAAUGAGUUUAAAUGGUAAAUAUUUAUGUUUUAUAAGCAAAAUGUGAUUAAAUGAAAAUGAUUUUAUAAAAUUGUCUUGAAAUUGAAAGAUGGUUUUGAAAAUGGAUUAAUUGAAGACUAAUUGUUGUGUUAUAAAUCAUGGUUUGAAUUAAAUGGCUUAUGAUAAUAUUGGCAUGAAUGGUUGAUUUGGUAAAUGUGUUGAAAAUGUAUAAACUGUUAAUUUACCUUGAGAGGUUGUAAAAUAAAAUAAUUGCCAUGUCAUGCUAUUGCAAAUUUUAUUGUAUGGUGGGUUAUAAAUUAGUCGCUGCAGUGGACGAGUUCUGUGGACCAGCCUAUUAGAGGGGCACGGGAACCCUAUUAUAUUCAUACCUCAGUAUGAGAGGCACGGUUGGAUAACUCUUGAGGUUAAAACUUUAGAGUUCACUUCACGCCAAACCACUACGUGAGAGUGAACUCAACCAACGCCAAGGAACGUCUAUGUUUUCAAAAAAAAAACAUGAUUUAUGUGUACAUAACUUUUUAACAGCUUUGGCGGACUCGGUUGGGAUAGCCCUCGAUCAAGGUAUCCUUGAUAACUAGGUAUGAGAAUGAUUUUGGCACGAGCCAAAGUUUUAAGAAAUUCAUAAGCCAUGUUGAUUUCUCGAUUUAUAUGAAUUGAUUUUAUUUGGUUGAAACAAGUUGAAAGGUGAUGAAUUACAGUAUGUUAAACUAAUUAUCUGUCUCAAUUUGCUCGGCUUUAGCUAUUUUAGAUGGUAUUUGUUUACUCACUGGGAUUAUAUAAUCUCACCACGCUCUUUUCCACCAAUUUCAGGGUUAGAAUAGAUUGUAGAUAGUUGAUUUCAUCGAGGCUAUCAUUGGAUUUGCAUCCUCCAAACUGUAGGUUCACAGUCUUCCUUACUUUUAGUUAUUCGGGGGCUCACUGGUUAUUGUAAAUUAAAUUAAAUACUCUGCCUUUCUGUAUUACAGUAUUUAUGAAUUUAUUUUGCUUUUACGCUGCUACAAAAAAAUUAUUUAUGUAUAACUCUAAAAAUAUUGUUUUAUAAGAAAAUAAAAUAUUUUAUUGAAUAUAUCUUUUAUUUUUUUAUUA
rnacentral:lncRNA from 1 species